rnacentral:lncRNA from 1 species
UCAUUGAGUCAUAUAUAUUGAGAAUAAAAAUGUUAUAAUACAUACACAGAGCUUAGUUAGAAUAAAAUGUCUUUGAACUUGCGAUGAUCAAACAAAGGAAACAGACAGGUUGUAACUCACACUAUCACAGAUGUAGCGACACGAUGCAGUGAAUCACAAGAAGAUCACGAAGAUGGAAACGGGAACCCCUCAGAAUGUAAACUUUGAAUAGAGGAAAAAAGAAAAACGUCCUUAUUUCAAAUUGUGCACAGAAGAAGAGUGACUUAAAUCUUCAUCAGUAUCCAGGCAUUCUGCAAUCAUAAAGUAGAAAAAUUUUAACAGUAACAGCAGAGAAAAUAUUAUGAAUAUGCUAGACCAAAUUAGUCCCUUUUUUGGUUUGUGAAAACUUUAUUUUUUAUGAAUACGCUAUCCAAUAUUUUCAAUCAAUAUUUCCACAAUAUAGUUGUUCAUAGCUAACGUUUGAUGGUUUAACGAUUUGUUCCAAGAAUAAUGAGCUGAUUACGUUUUGUUUUAUUUUUAUUUUAUUUUUUUUAAUCCGAUGAAGGAUAUUCAGCUGUGUCUUUAAUUAUGCAUUCAUAGGGAAGAACAUUUUCUAAGUACUUUCCUUGCCUUCUAACUUUCCAAGGAAAGAUAGGUGUGAAGAAAAGCAAACCCAAUGAACAAACAGAGCACAAACUAAAAUAAUUAGCAAAUAAAGAAAGGAAAAAGUAUGCACGUUUUCAAGGAUUUAAAAAAUACGAAGGCUUUUAAUGAAAUUUUAUCAUAAAAAAGUAUGCAAGGAGUUAUAAAAUUUUAGAAGACGAGGGGAGCUCGCAAAAAAAAAAAAGAAAAAAAAAAGAAAAAGACUCAAAUUAAACUAGACUAAAAAGACAUUCAAUUACGCAAAAUCUGUCCAUAAAAGUCUGAAAGGAUCAUUAAAAUUGCAUUGCAAAUUUAACAGUAAACUGAGGAACCCAUUCUAAAUAAUUCAGAUGAAAUUGCGAAACAAACCAUGGGAUUAAAUAAAUUAAAUAAAAAUUAAUUACCAGUUGAGACUUUCUUCUAAAAAUUCGCAACUCCAAGUCAUAAGAAGCCUAUGAAA